rnacentral:sRNA from 1 species
AACCUCCGGGGGCAGGAGGUUCGACCCGAGCGAAGCGAGAGAACGUUGCGUCAGCAACGGCCCGCAGGGCGAGCCACGCAGUGGCGAGUCAUCCUCUAUCACCGACCA